CUGAGCAUCCCUCUGCCCGUGAUUUACUUGGGCCUUCGCUCACCAGAGACCGCAGGCGCCUGCGGUACAAGAGCCUGCUUCCUACGGAAGGCAGCAGAGAAUGAUCUUGGCUAGCCAGGGCUGAGCCUGUACCUAGAGGUGUCUCGCUUUACAUGGGACAGUGCCAGGCCAGCAGUAUGCUUGUGUCAUCGGCACGGCCUCCCUCGCUUACCGCAUAUCAUGUCGAUGUAUUCAGCCAGGUCACAGUUCAUGUCUGCAGUCGGGAGGCCCACCUGGAAUGGAUGGGGCUGUCAGCUUUGCUCCCACACAGGUCUCGAUGUCGGGCAUUGGCCUGGCCAGGGAGGAAAAGAACAUCAACUUCAGGAGCGCACGCAACUGAAAUGGUUUCCUACUGCUGGACCACUGGGAACAGGACGGCCUCUGUUCAAACCAGCUGAGAGCGAGCUGCAUGUCUGCCGAGGGUCACUGCGUUACGCAGGGAAAGAGAAGUGCAGAGGGGGGAAACGGAGCAUCCCGCACACGUGCAUGCCGCGCUACACCAACCGAUUUCUGCAGGCAGAAGAGCGGCUGGGAGACAAAAUGCAGAGUGAAACCAGGUAGUGACAACGAAAAGGAAACAAAGCUUCACCCGAAGCACACAGAUCCACAGCCUCUACCAAGACUUGCCUGAAGCAAGACUUAGACCCAUCGCAGUUUAAAGCCAUAGAUUAGAGGAAAAGCCAGCGUGCAGCAAGUGCCCUGCAACUCACUGUGACGUUGUGCUGCUUGGAGUUCUCUGUCAGCCAAAGGGAGAGCACGGUGGGAUCCGACUGCUUGGUCGACGGCUCGUCUAGGACCAGCAG